UACGGAGGGGGCCAGCGUUGUUCGGAAUCAUUGGGCGUAAAGGGCGCGUAGGCUGCUCAGUAAGUCAGUUGUGAAAUCCCUCGGCUCAACCGAGGAACUGCGUCUGAUACUGCUGGGCUUGAGUCCCGGAGAGGGUAGCGGAAUUCCCAGUGUAGCGGUGAAAUGCGUAGAUAUUGGGAGGAACACCAGUGGCGAAGGCGGCUACCUGGACGGGUACUGACGCUGAUGCGCGAAAGCGUGGGGAGCAAACAGG
rnacentral:rRNA from 1 species